GUGUCGCUAUUUAGAAAGAAGUGUUACUAAUAGAAAUCGGUACCUGUAAUGUAUAUGUAUACAAAAUAUCUGUGACUCUGUGCUCGGAUUAGAAAAUUGUCUCGGUUUCCUCAAAUUUCAAUUAUAAGCCUGCUCGUCACGCCUGAGCAAUUUACUCAUUAUAUUUUCAAUUAUCUGACGUAUUAUUUAUUACUCUGAUACAGGAUCGCAAAUUUCGGUCUCAGCCACUCUGUGUAAACAUGCCGACAAAACUGUCUGUAAAGGUGAUGGUGCUUAUGCACUUCUUAUACUGCGUGUGUGGAAGGUCCUUACAUACUGGAAGUACUGUAAGCGUCCGACUAGAAAAAUUCACAUUUGUCAAGUGGCCUUGUGUUGCAGGUGCCUUUUCAGAAGGAGGUCCAAGAGUUAGCUUCGUUAGUGACAGCUACCGUAAACUCCUGGGCAGUUCAGGGCGACGUACAGAGUAUCGUUGCAAAGCUGCCCGUUGUUAUUUUUAUGAAGAAUUACAAGUUUGAUUAGCUCAACAUAAAAAUAAUGUAAAUACCGUUCUGGGGAAAAAUAAAUGAUUUCUGAUCGCCGCAUCCUGUUUCUGCUACAUUAACUGCGCUAGAAAAAAAAACCGAAUUUCAAGGGCAGCUUCUUGAUCUAAAUCAUGCAGCUCAUUUAAAGCCGGAGUUACAAUCAAGGCUUCAUCAUGAACGCAUCUCGCUUUUGUGUUUUAGUGGUGAUACUACUAUUCGCAUACGAAGUCAAUUCGGCACCGAGCGCAAAAUUGAGGGAAAAACGCCAGGCCGAUGGGUUGAUCGAAACUGCACUAGACCUCAUUCUCGAGGGAGCUUCAAAAUUUUCUGAAAUACAAGAAUCCCUCGAAGGUCUCCCCAGUGUUUCUAUAGGCCGUAAAUAAUGCACCUACAUGUAUUAGCACAAGUGUGUUUGUAUUUUACAUGCACAAAUAAAUAGUCAACUGUU